rnacentral:lncRNA from 1 species
CCCCUCGAUUUGUUAUUUUCUCUAGUUAUCCAAACCGUGCAAGAAAAGCAACAAGAAAACAUGUACGCAGACUAAUGCGAGAAUUUCAGAAAGAAUAGAGUGUACAAGCUUCCAUAUGCUGCACGAAUCCUAUGCAGUGGUGUCAAGGAACGGAUAAUCAGUGUAGCCAAUAACCGGUUCAGACACGUAGAAUGUGCUUCUGUUGUACUUGUUCAGAGGAGCAUUAAGCUCAAACCUCUUCGGCAAGUCUGGGUUAGCCAAGAACCAACGACCAUAAGCAAUAAGAUCUGCACGGCCCUCAGCCACAGCAUUGUUCCCAUCUUCCCUGUCAUAACCACCAGCAGCAAUGAAGGUACCAUUAAAAGCCUUUCUCAUGGGUACAAGACUGUGGGGGCUAUCACAUUUUUCUCCAGCUGUCUUCAUCCUAGGCUCAACCAUAUGGCAGUACAGGAUCCCAUAUUUGUUCAACGAAUUGGCCAGAUAAAGGCCCAACGCUUUCGGAUCUGAAUCCCCUGAUUCCAUAUAGCUGGCAAAUGGAGAUAAUCUAAUUCCAACUUUAUCCGCUCCUAUCUCAUUAACAACAGCUUCAACGACUUCCAGAGCAAAUCGACAACGAUUCUCCAAUGAUCCCCCAUAUUGGUCUGCUCGAUCAUUCACUUGAUCUUUUAGAACUGAUCAAUAAGGUAUCCAUGGGCCCCAUGAAUUUCUACUCCAUCAAAGCCUGUAUAUCAGACAAACCAUUUCAGUGCACCAAAUAUUUUUUGUAAUCUAGCAUGAACUAUUGUCACACAUCUAGUUAAACUGCAAUUAACGCCUUUAACUACAUUUGUAAGAUUAUAGAUGGUUUGUUUGCUUCUGUUGAAAGUAAUUUUGAGUUCUCGCUAAUUUUAUUUCGCACUUAAGUAAAGACAAAUUACCAGCUUCUAUAGCGUUCCUUGCAGCAAGUCUGAAAUCAUUGACUAUUUGUGGGACUUCAUCUGUCCUUAAUCGCCUUGGAGGAGAAAAAUCAGCAACAUCAAUGCCAUUAGAUCGUAUUUGGGGGGUUAGUGGCUUGUCAGUAGAAGAGAUUGGAGCUUGCCCAUUUGGCUGAAACCCUGUAAGAAAAUAUUGAUAGAAUCACAAUCCGAAAGAUUUCUAUUACAGGAAUAUCAAGGCAGCUUUCUGAUGCUUCAAUGGCCUAACUUUUCACUUAUGAUCCAAACGCUUUCAAUGACACAAAGUGAAGUCAUAAAAGCGUAUGUUAGAAACGCACCGGUAUUUGAAACCCUCCCCACAUGCCAAAUCUGACAGAAGAAGAUGCCACCUUUAGCAUGAACAGCAUCAACAAUGGGUUUCCAUGCUUCAACUUGCUCCUUUGUCCAUAUACCGGGAGUAUCUGGGUACCUUCGCAUAUUAAAAAAAACAAAAAUGUUAUCAAACUUUGAAAUGAAGAAAGUACACAUAUAAAUGUAUGUUUUCCAUCUAGAAUUUCGCAUAAAAGAAACUUGAAAAAAAGCUAAUGUUUGUGAAGUUACCCUUGAGCUGUGUCAGAAACUCCAGUGGCUUCAGCUAUGAGAAGACCCCCGUUAGAUGUUCUCUGUGAGUAAUAUAAGAUGGCAUGCGGCUGAGGAACAUUUCCGUAUGAUCUUUGUCUAGUCAAUGGUGCUAAUACAACUCUGCAGAAGGCAAGGAAGAAGUAUAUCAUCAGAAUACACCUACUACAUGGCCUAUGACAUGUACGAUAUCAUCAGAUCUUGCUAAACAGAACAAGAUUUAAGUAACACGACCAAAAAUCCAGAAAGGAAACAUACUUUUCGUAGCCAAUUGCAUCGAAUACCAAAGAUGAAUUAAGUAAUUUCCGGUCAAGAUUAAGUACUAACUCGGGAGUGAUGAGUGGUUCAGAGUUCACAACCCAAGAUGUACCAUUUAGGUCUUGGGAAACGAUAUCAAAUCGUAUGUCAGUCGGUUCUAGGGAUCAUCUAUGCAUAUAUUUGGUUUCAAGGUCUGGGGCUUACAGAAAAUUUCAGUAACAUCUAUCCUAGUUUAUUUUCUUUAAGAGUUGACUACUUUAGUUGCAAAGAUAUAGUCACAACUUCAAAGAUACAACGGGUGUAUACUGCACGAGCGCGUCUAGGAAUUCGAAAAUCAAACAAUCUUGAACCAAAGCAAGUAAUUCAUGGCGAACAUCAAGACAAACUGACCCAAAAGUUGCAGCACAUUAUCUGUUGCAACUCAAACUCGCAAACAAAACCAGGGUUAUCCAACCAAUCAAACUAAACCAAUUCCAAGCUUUACAAUUCUACAAGUAAUGUGAACAUCCAAAUCCAUCCUAUCAAAGUUAAUGCUUUUAAUUCUGAAAAUUCAGGAUUCUUGCGUAGGCAAGCACAAAAACUGCCCAGCAACCUGCAACUUUGCCCAAAAAAUAAGCAGUAAUUUCAUUUUUCUUGCAAGAAAACCGGGAUUUUCUGCAACCCUGUUUCCAAAUGAACAAAACCCACCAGCCCAAAUCUCAACUGCUCAAGCAGAAUAAGUCUACGAAAUCAAUGCAGAAUGUAGAAGCAUAUAAUCGUAGAAAAGGUUGAGCGAGUGAGUUAAGUUACCUAUGAGAAAGAUUGAACUUUCCAAAUUUGUAAGGAGAAAGGAGAGGGAUUGUGGGACCAGCUCCUUGAGCUUGAUUGGUGGUAGCCAUUUCAAUUCAACUGGGUUCAGAGCUCGACCCUGACUUUGGUGUUUGGUUUUUGAUUUGAUCUGCUCUCACGUUGGGUAUUUAUGCGUUCCGGGAGAGGCGGAAGAGGGCUAGCACAGUGGGAUGACUGACUGACUGACUCCAACUGGGUCCACGUCGCCUUCUCCUCCACCUUCCCCAUCCUCUUAAAAUGGGGCAGAUGCAGAUUUUCAACGGUUGGCCGGGCGGCUGCUUUUUCAAAUCUUUUUUUUUUUUUUUUUUUUUCUGAUCGAUACCUUUGACGACGUUUGCAAUUACGUAAUCGUCUUUCUGUUUUUUCCUUUUUAAUAUAGAAGGUAUCGUAUCUUAUUCUGCAGAGAUGACAAAUACGUUCUCUUCUUCCUUCGAUAGUUUCGAUAUCAAAUGAAACCAUAUUUUUUAAUAAUAAUUUAUAGUACUAGCAUGAAAAUUAAGUUAAAUGGUAAGGUGUCAAAAUACUCAUGAAGAAUUUUGAUUUAAAAGAAUUUCUUAACAUUUAUCUUACAUUAAAUAAUUUGCCAAAACUGAAGAAUGAGUUGUGAUGUUUUUGAAAAUUCUCAAAUCUUGACCGUUCAUCAUACAUCGUAAGAUCAGAAAUUAUUUUAAAUACUUUUAUUUAAAAUUUAAAUAUAAAUAAUAUUUGACAAAAAUUGACGAUUUUAAAUAAACGAACACAAUUUAAAAAUCCUUAGAAUCAUCAUAAAAAGGAUUCCAAUCCACAUUCAAAACUGAAUCGAUUGACAGACUCAAGAGUAGCAUUAUUAUGAAGUCGUCAUGCGGACACCAGCAACGACCGCCUACGAUAUGGACUUUCUUUUAUUAGUAUUUUACUUUUCAACACAUAAUUGCAUCCAUGCUUUUUAGUUCAAUUUUUUAUUUUUUUGUCUCAGAACCUUUUCAUUUGACUCUUUGAGCAAUGGGAUCGUCAUUCGUCACUUAUUACCAAGGGUCAGCUUCACUUUUGCUAGAGUAAAUGAUUUUGUGGGAUUGGAUUAGGGAAGAACAAUGGUUAUGUUAUACGAGUAAUAUGAUUACUUAUCUAUAAUUAUUUAUGUUUUUAUUUGAUAUUCGUGUCAUGUUUUUAUUAUUCGUGUCGUUUUUGUGUCAUACCUGAUAAUUUAACAGAUCAUGUCAUGUAAUACCUGUUAAAAUAAACGGAUAAUAUGACUCAACCUAUUAAUAUUAUCAGGUACUAUGACUCGACCUGUUACAUGUUAAGAAAAAUAUAUUGAAAUCAAUAAAUAAUGAAAAUGAAAAACAUAAUUUGACUCCAAAAAAUGUAAAACAUAAUACUAAAUUAAUAUAUACAUACCAUAUUGUCACGUAAAUAUUAGUUCAAAACACAAAAAAAUAAAAAAACAUUUGUCUUUCAAGUUAACAUACCCCAAAAUAAGAGCCUAAUGAAAAAACAUUAGUGCAUAUUACAAAAUACAAAUGUUCAAAGAUAUGCAAAAUGAAGAGAGUUGUCUUUCAAGGUUGGGAAACAUUGCAUGUUUUUUAUAAUAAAACCCUACAAUUUUUAACAAUCAUCAAGAGAAAUGGUAUUAGAACUUUGACUUGAUAUAUUGUCUUCAAAAGUUAUAUUGACGAUGUUUUCAUUAAGAUUUUUUAUGUAUACAAAAUAAGAGCGUCCUCUUUCGUUUUCAAUCAAUGAUUACAAAAGCAAAUAUAUAAUUUGGUAGAUGUAACGUUUUGUGACCUGAUGUCACACCUUACCUUGUGUGAGCUAUCAGCACAUGACCAAAUUGUAUUUUAUUUACACCAAGGUCUUGUGCCAGUCAAACUGGCACACCACAAGAACCUUCUUCGUCCUACAUAUCACAAUUGAAACAUAAAAUAUAUAUUUGAUUAAAUAAAGUAAAAUAAAAUAAAAUAAAGAAAGAUGCAUAAUUCAAACAUUUGGGCUUUGCUGAUUGUAAAUCCUUGAAAAAGCAAACCCACAACUGUGAAUAUAUAGUAUGCAAUAAGGGCAGUAAAGCAAUUUAGCUGAGUCGGCUCAUCUCGAAGACAAUUUUCUGUUCUUUCUCUGCCUAUGCAUUUUUCUAUUUCGGUAAAUUAAUUAUAAAUUAAAUAUUUAUGUUUCAAAGAGCCAAGAAAACAAUUGGGCUUUGCUGAAACAUAAAUAUAUACUUUUAUGUGUUGUAAACUUUCUUAGUUUAAGUAUGAUGGUAUAAAUCUUAGAUUAGAUUUUAUUAUAGUUAUCAUUUUCUAUUACAACUUGUAUUCUUUAGGGAUGAAAUAAUUUAUUCUCUCAUUUUGCUACUAUAAAUAAAGGCACAAUGUAGGAGGGAUAACACACACAUUCCCCUACAAUGCUACAAACACUUCUCUCUCAAUUUCUCUAUCGCUGGCCCUAUUUUCUUUGUCAGAUAAAAUAGGCUACAACACAUUAUCAGCACACUCCUACCGCUGUGCUUAGGAAUCUGACGUUAAAGUUUUUUCUGCAUCAAACCAGUUCAUCCAUAUUAUCACUCAAUCAGGUUCUUUCAAAACAACGGUUUUUAUCUCGAUAUUUUUGUAGCCCUGAUAGCAUGAACAUUCACCAUAAUGCAUGACCCAACUUUAUGUUUUUCAAAUUUUAGAUUCUACAUAAAUUGUGUAUGCAUUAUAAUUGUUAAAUUAUGUGAAUUUGAUAUUUGCCAUGAAUUGUGUUGAUGCACAAAACCGGAGGUCUUGGAACAACGUAAAUCCGACCGUGAAUCUGCAAGAAAUGUAAAUAACACAAGAUGUAUCGUGGUUCACCCCAAGGUUUGGGCUACGUCCAUACUGAUAUUGUAUUUCUGAUGGAGAGAGAGAGCCUCUGUAAUGAAUCUGAAAGGCUUUGAGAGUGAGAGCUUGAGGGGGGGUGAAGAGCCUUAGGAAUUGGCCUCCCCUAAUUGUGAGGGUGAGGGGUCCUUUUAUAGGAUAAGAGCUCCUCACUUAUUACAUAUUUGCCCAUUCCUUUAUUACAUAAUUACAUUUAAGUCCCCCGAAUAUUUAUACGAAGUCUAAAUACGGAGGCCCUAAGUAUGGUAUAAACAGUAGUCCCCCAAGUCUUCAGUCAAGAAAGUCUUUUGGCUGGAGACUUGAAACUCAGUCCAUUUGUGGGUCGAAGUAACUAGAUGUUGUCUUGAACUGAUGCCCGAUAUGAGGCGGUGCUCAAAGUGAAAUGAUGCUCAUCUAGAAGUUGCACAUGUUGCGAGGCUGCUUGGCUUGUGGCUUAUGUUGCCUUGGUUGGCUCGGCUUGUGUCAUUAAAGGUGAGGGAGUCCCUUUUAUAGAAUAAAGGCUCGCUCCUCAAUACAUAAGUAAUGGGCUAGAGUCGAUGCUCGUGGCGAGGCAGUUGCUCAGCUGGCGGCGAUGCUCUCUAAUAAAGGUGAGGGAGUCCCUUUUCUAAAAUAAGGGCUCGUUCUUCAAUACAUAAGUGAUGGGUUAGGAGUGAUGCUCGCGGCAAUGCGGUUUGCUUAGCUGGCAGAGUUGCUCUCUAACGAAGGUGAGGGAGUCCCUAUUAUAAGAUAAGGGCUCGCUCCUCAAUACAUAAGUGAUGGGUGCUUUCUAAUGAAAGUGAGGGAGUCCCUUUUAUAGAAUAAGGGAUCGCUCAUCAAUACUUAAAUAUGGGCUAGAGUUGAUGCUCUCUAAUGAUGGUGAGGGAGUCUCUUUUAUAGAAUAAGGGAUUUCUUUUCAAUACAUGAAUAAUAGGCUAGAGUCCCCCAAGUAUUUUUCAUGAGGCCCAGUUGAGGCCCAAUAUAUGGUACAUAAUGUAGUCCCCCAAGUCUUCAGUCAAUAGAGUCUGUUGGUUGGAGACUUCAAAUUGAAUCCAUGUAUGGGGUGAAGUAGCGGUUGUUCGGAGGCGGUAUUUGUAUACCCUGCACUGAAGCUUUGUAGGUGAAGCUUUUCAAGUGAAGCUUUGCAAGUGAAGCUUUGAAGCUAGAGCUCUGUAAAUGAAGCUUUCGAAGCUGGAGCUUUUGUAAAUGAAGCUUUUGAAGCUAAAGCUCUGUAAAUGAAGCUUUUGAAGUUGAUUGACAUAAGUGAUGCUCAUGAAUGUUUAUGUUGAUUGACAUGAGUGAUGCUCAUGGAUGUUGUCAUGAGUGAUGCUCAUGAAUGUUAACAUGAGUGAUGCUCAUGAAUGUUGACAUGAAUGAUGGUCAUGAAUGUUUAUGUAUGAUUGUCAUGAGUGAUGCUUAUGAAUAUUUAUGUAUGAAUGACAUAAGUAAUGCUCAUGUAUAAUUUGGAGUAUUGGGCGUACUUUUGAUCACCUGGUUGGUGGCAUGAAGGAGAGUACGGGUUGUACAUUUCAUCACCUGGUUGGUGGCAUGAAUGCUAGUUGCCAAAUGAUAUUAGAGUACGGGUUGUACAUUUCAUCACCUGGUUGGUGGUAAUAGCGGUGGGUUGCCGAAUAAUUUUGGAGUACUGGGCGUACUUUUGAUCACUUGGUUGGCGCUAAUAGCGGCAUGUUGCCGAAUAAUUUUGGAGUACUGGGCGUACUUUUGGUCACCUGGUUGGUGAUAAUAGAGGGUCUGGCCUUUUUAUGCAUAUGGGCCUUCGCCCUCCACAUGACAUUGCAGUCCAUUAUUUUGGGCUUAGCCUUUUUUUUUUCUAUACCCUCUGAUGGGGUUUAUACAGAUAUCUCCGAAAGAUACGGAAAAUAAAUUACAUCAGUCAAAAACAAGAAAAGUAAAUCACAUCAUUCUGGUGGAGUGUUUAUUCCUUGCUUUUGCUUUCUCUUUUGCUUUUGUUUUUUCUGCUUUACUUUUGCAUUCUCUGCUUUUGCUUUCUCUGCUGCAUGGUCCACGAGUCCACCCCCAAUGCUCAUAAUAUUCUCCCACACUACAAUUUUUCUUUCUUUAAUAGCCUUAAAUUGUUGGUGGACAAGAUGAAAAGUUAGUGCCGAGAAAAUAAUCAAUUAUUUGGAAAGUGAAGACGUUUGGUGCCGACAGAAUGAAGGAGCAUCUUCUGGUGUGCUUGCCUUUAUUGCACUUGAUGAAGGUGGAGAUGUUUGGGCACAACGGGACCACAAGGGACGACGAGGUCGUGACUUUUGGUCAGGAACAACAUCUCUCCAGCACCGUCAUCUCUCCACUACCGAGGCCCCAGUCGAGGACGUGCUCAGUGCACACAGCAGUACCAAAUUUGAAGCUGACAGAACAGAGGCCUAGGGAUUUCAGGAAUCUGAAAUUGGGGGAAUGAGGGAUUAAACACGAGCCAAACAUCUGAUCCAUUCGAAUUCCAAGCAAUGGAAUUAACACAUCCUUGAUGCCCUUCCAAUUCUCUUUCCCGAGAAAACCUUCGCACCAACGAGAAGUGCACAUGCCACCUGUGAUUGGCACUACGGCGAACAUCGGAGUCCAGGCUGUGGAGUCUUCGCCUCUUUUGACGGCAGGUGAGAGGACCUCUAAUCAGAUGGGUUUUGUAUCCCCGGUGUCGACACCCCGAGUGAGGUCACCGGAAUCGAUAUCAGCUCCUACGACGCGACUCGGUUGGCGAUGAUGAUGUCUUCGGAGCUGGAAGUACCAGAGAGAAAAAGAGAAAGAGGAGAGUGGCACUGUCGCCAUCCACGGUCGGGUCAGAUCCGUCGCUUAAUCAUUGUAGCUGAGCAUCAUCUUGAGGACUGGAGUCUACCACGUGGCGCAGGAGGGGCAAGGGAGUCGAAUAGCUCGGCAUGCAUGUCAGAGGCCGGGUCAGAUCCGACGGCGAGUUCAGUACGCAUCUUCUGAUGUGUCACUCCCUCACUUCGUGGUCAUCCCCACUGCUGUUCCCCAUUAUCAUCUACUGCGGCGGCGGCUGGUGGAGAUGAGCUUGAGAUUGGGAUUGGGAGAGUUCUUCAUUUGAACAUCAUCAAAGUCGCUGAUGGCUGUGUCGAGCACCAGAUCUGCCGCCAUUGGACCUUCACGGGCAGUCAGAGCAAUUAGAGCAAAACGAGAGUCUUUGGGUGCGUUCUCUCUCUCCCCCACUCUGCCUGGGAUGAUGUUGAUGGUGUGAAAGCUUUGCUUGGAAUUUGGGAAGCGUGGAAUAUGGAAACUGAUCUUAUCGCAAGUUGAAGUUCCCAAAACCUAAUAAUAUGACCGAUCCGAACUUUUUGACUUCUGGCGCUUUUCGUUUGCUUAAAAGGAAUGGGUUUUUGGUUUGGUGUUUCUACAGAUUCACAGUGGUGAGAUUUGAUGAAAAAAAUGAAAGAAAACCGACAUAGUUGUUUAUGUCGAUUCUUACAGACGGUGCCAAAUGUUGAUGCAUAAAACCGGAUGGUCUUGGAACAACGUAAAUUUGACCGUGAAUCUGCAAGAAAUGUAAAUAACACAAAAUGUAUCAUGGUUCACCCCCAAGGUUUGGGCUACGUCCAUACUGAUAUUGUAUUUCUGAGGGAGAGAGAGAGCCUCUGUAAUGAAUCUGAGAGGCUUUGAGAGUGAGAGCUUGAGGGGGUGAGGAGCCUUAGGAAUUGGCCUCCCCCUAAUUGUGAGGGUGAUGGGUCCUUUUAUAGAAUAAGGGCUUCUCACUUAUUACAUAUUUGCCCCUUCUUUUAUUACAUAAUUACAUUUAAGUCCCCUGAGUAUUUAUACGAGGUCUAAAUACGAAGGUCCUAAGUAUGGUAUAAACAAAUUGCAUCAAAUAUAUGUACAUGCAUUAAAACAUCAUUGAUUUGAAUGUAUAUAAUUGAAUUUCAUAAUUGAAAAAAAAAUCAAAAAUCACCACUUGAGUUCUUCGAACCUAUGACCUCGAGCAAGCAUGGAACAUCAAGCUCUUUUGAAACUCAGUGCCCAUAGCGUCCAAACCUAGAAAAUCCACAUCACCUGAAGCGAGACCACGACUUUGCCAUGCAAUUUUCUGACCAAAUCCAACAUGGUAUAGUAAUUUUGAUUUGAUAGCAUUGAAAUUCUCGAAGAUUUCAUCGAAUUUGGGUGAAAUUCCAGUUUGAAUUUCUUAGGUUUUUGCCCUCUCCAUUCCUCAAAACUUGCUCAUCAUCGAACCUAUGACCUUGCACCGACAAAUUUUUCCCAAAACACGGCCGCCUGCAGCAGCGGCACUGGCCUUCGUCCCCUGUAACUACACACAACUCCGGCUGGGUUGUUUUUUUUUUUUGGUUGAAACCCUAAGCUUAUUUGGGCUAACCUUCUCGGCUCGUAGAAAAAAAAAAUUUAAGAACUGGGCUCACAUGAUGCGGCCCAAUCCUUGGCUUGACCCAAAACUGGCCUGAGGGGUCAUGGUGUCCCGAUGUUGUGUGCCGCACCAAAUCCCAACUCCGUUGAAAAAGCCACUAAUCAAGCUCUGAACCCAACACUGGCCUGAGGGGUCAUGGUGUCCCGAUGUUGUCUUCGGAUAAUCCUAUUGGCGAAGCUGAAAAAGCCACUGCUAUGAUCUUCAUCCGAAGACAUAUCCAUGACACCUUACAAAUUGAAUACCUUCCUGAUGAGGAUCCACGUGCAUUAUAGGUCGCUUUGGCUGAUCAUUUUGAUCACCAAAAGGACAUAUUCUUGCCUAAAGCAAAACAUGACUGGCAGCAUUCGCGCUUCUAAGACUUUAAGUCUGUGAAUGAAUAUAAUUCGGAAGUUUUUCGAAUCCGAUCACUUCUCAAGUUUUGUAAUGAAACUUUGACCGAAGAAUAUCUCCUGGAGAAGACCUAUUCGACAUUCUCUGCUUUUAAUAUUGUCAUGCAGCAACAAUAUAGAGCUCAAAAGUUUACUAAGUUCUCGGAUUUGAUCUCUAUUUUACUUCUCACUGAAAAACAGAACCAGUUGUUGAUGAAAAAUCAUUAAGUUGGACGUAUUGGGGUGACUGUUGUGCCCUAAAACACAUUAUAGCAUAAACCAAUGCCCAAAACACUAAAAGAGGCAUGGUAGGGGCGGCUAGAAGCCACCCCGCGAAGGUCAACAGAGUCAAAGCCCAUCCAAGGGAGGAAAUGAAGCCCAGAAGCGCUCAAACCUCACUCCCGAGGCCCCGAACUUCAAGAAUAAGGGCAAAGCACCUAAAACCAUGGAUGCAUAUAUGUGUUAUUGUUGUGGUUCAAAGGACCAUUGGUUCUGUGUUUUUCGAGCUCCCCAGAAGGUUGUAGCUGAAUAUCAUUCUCGUUGUAAGAAGUUUGAAUCAAACUUCGUGCAAAUAGACAAACCAGAGACUACAAAGAUGGAGGUUUUUGACUUUCAAGAGGAUACCACCCCUAUGGAAGAUUAGAAUCUUAGACAUAAACAAUUUUAGUUAGUUAAAAUUGCACAAUAGGGACGAUUUCCACCUAGUGGCCGAACCCCCCUUUGUCUUUUGGUAGAUUUUUGAACAAUUUUCCUUUAUUUUUGGAUUAUUUGUUGGUGAUUUGUUUUUUGAUAUUAAGUUUUAAUUAAUUACCAUCCUUGAAUAAAUGAAAUUAUUUUGAAUUGAUAUUUGUUUUUAGAACUUGAGAGAAGGCUGGUAACAAACAUGAAAUAUGGCCCUAUAGCAGUUAAGUAGAGCAAUAUCCCCACUAUCUUCCUAUACUCAGCUUCAGUUGCAGCCUUACAACCAUCAACUUUGCACAAUCUAUCAUUCAUAGAAAGUGGAGUCCUAAUUCAUUUGCAAUCAUUCAAUCCAAAUUUCUCAAGCAAUUUCAUAGCAUUUUUUUUUUUGUGAAUGAAAAUGUUUUUUUUUUUUUUUUUUUCAGUUUGGACAAUUUCCAUACCAAGAAAAUAAUGUAAGGCCCCAAAUCAAUCAUUUCAUAAUGCUUCAUCAUGUCACUCUUGAAUUCUUCAAGUAUUGAUGGACAACUUCGAGUAUAAAUAAUGUCAUUCACAUAGAGAGAUACAAUGAUUAUACCGAAGUUUCCAUUGGUUUUGGUGUAAAGAGUAGCUUCACUUAGACUUUUCUGCAAUCCACAUUUGGAGAAAUAAGAGUUUAUCUCAUCAUACCAAGAUCUAAGAGCUGGUUUUAGACCAUAGAGAGCCUUGUUAAACUUGUUAUUUUAUCUUCUUCAUUUUGGACUAUAAAACCCAGAGGCUGAUCAACAUAAACUUCUCACUUAAGUACUCUAUUAAGAAAUACAGACUUUAUAUCCAGUAGAUACAACUUCUAACCCUUCUGAGCUGCCAAGGUUAGUAAGGUUCUUAUUGUGUCAAGCCUUGCAACUGGAGCAAAUAUUUCAUUGAAGUAUACUCCAUGAUUUUAAGAAUAUUUUUUUUUUCUACCAAUCUGGCUUUAUUCUUAUGUAAUGUGUCAUUCAAGUUUAGCUUUGUCUUGUAACCCCACUUUACACCAAUGACAGGUUUGUUGGAUGGUUUUUUUUUACCGAUUUCCAAGUGUGAUUCUUCUCAAUCAUAUCAAUCUUAGCUUGCACUGCUUUUUUCCAUAAGUCAUCAUGAACUGCUCUUUCAUAGUUAUCAGGCUCCAUAAUACAUACGCUACAUUGAGCUAACACAUCAUUCAACCAUUUAUGUGAUGCAAAAUCAUAAGUUUGAGACAGUUCACUUUCCCUUUGAGAGUUAGGAUCAUCAACAAUUUGAGUUGAUUCAUCAUGUGAGAUGAGAAUGGAUGUUACAAGAGAUCCUAUCGUUCCUUGUUCCAUUUCAAGUUCUAUUACUCCACUACCUUUAUUAUCAACUGCAAUUGACACACUAACAUACUCUUAAGUGUUUGUUCUCCAAUCCCAUCUACCAUUUUCAUCAACACAUCUCUAAACAUGAAAACCUUCAUUGUACUAGGAUUGUACAACUUGUUCCCUUUUUCACUUGUACCAUAGCCUACAUGGAUGCACUUUUAGCUAUUACCCUCAAUCUUGUGUCUCAAAUUUAAAGGAACAAGCACAUAGCACAAAGAACCAAAAUUCUUGAGAUAAGCAGUCCCUAGUUUUCUGCCAUUAUAAGCUUCAAAAAGUGUCAUUUUAUUCAAGGUUCUAGUAAACUAUAUGUUGAGUAAAUACACUGCUAUAUGCAUAACUUCUACCUAAAAUUGAUAUAGCAUGCCUUUUCCAUGCAACAUUACCUUUGCCAUUUCAACAACAGUCAUGUUCUUUCUCUCAGCAACACCACUUUGCUAAGGUGUGUAAGUCAUGGUUACCUGCCUUUAAAUCCCAGUGAUAGGAGCAUAUUUAUGCAACUUAGUUAACUUUUUUUCUUGCAUUUUCAUAGCUAGUUUCUGUUUAUUAUAGUGAUUUAAGUUAUUUUCGUGUGUUUGUAGGUCCAAAUGACAAAGUUGGCGAGAAAUUGCAAUUUGGAGCAUUUUGGAGCAGUUUUGGGCCAAGAAUGGAUAGCAUAUGAAUGGAGCAAGAUGAAUGGACGUUUUUGAAGUUCAAAGAGGCUAGGAAUGUGCUACAAUUCUGGAAGAAUGAAUUCAAGACAAAGAAGAUAAGGAAUUAGCCAAAAAGAAGGAACAUUAUCCAAAACCUUAUCCAACCUUAUCUUAUCCAAACUAACCUUAUCUUAUCUUAUCCUAUCUUAAUCCUAUCCUACCUUAAUUCCAGCUGCAAGGGGGACUCCUUAUCAAAUUUGAAUACCUAAUAUCUUAUUCUAGAAGCCCUGAAACAAUGCAAAUAACAUGAUCCCUUUGUCCCCUAGAAAUCUAACAAAUUUAAUCCCUUCUCUUCUAGAAGGUUUGUGCCGAACUCCCUAAUCCUUUUCCUCUCUGGAAUCUAAUAUGAAGUGCCCUUUUUCCUUGCUAAUUUGGAGUCCUAAUCCCCUUUCUUUUCAGCCUAUGUCGUGCAUCCUCCUCUCCCUAUAAAUACAAAGUGCCACAACACUCAUAAUUCACCAUCUCUCACCACAAAUUUGCACCAUACAUCUAUCAUACUUAGAAAUCCCUUUUGUGCCACAACUUUGCAAGGAGAAAGGAGAGGAGACCAUUUGCCGUGCCCUGCCAUUCAAGACCCUUAGAUUGCUAGAGCAUUCUUAGGUGUUUUCUAUCUUUUAUUUUCAAUGUUUAAUUUAAGUUAUCUUUGUUUAAGUGCCAACAUGAGGAACUAAACUCGUUUUGGCUAGAGGAGAAUUCGAAGCCAUGAACAUAUAUUGCAUAUGAAUUUAUUACCUUCAGUUAUAAUUUCAUGAAUCGGGAAUGCAAUUUGCAUAACUGUUUGAUUCAGAACUUAUUCUUGUAUGUUGAUUAAGGAGGCCUAUUUAGUUUGCAUGCUUGGAUUUGGUGCUAAAAUAUAAGGGAAUUUCACCUAAUAGUUAUGAACUUAUAUUUACAAGUAAUGGAGGUCACUGGUCGUCAUUGUGUUUAGUGAAUUCCUGGCAGAAGUAUCAUGCUAUUCAUAGUUACGAAUGCCUUAUCAAUGCUUAUGAUUUUCAUAGAGCUUAAUGAUCUUUGAUAUGUAUCUCUAUCAUGUUGUUCGUGUAGGGAACUUAAUAAGAAUAAUUUGGUUGCGACGCUGAGUCCAAUUCAAUGAACUUAGGAAAAUCUGAGGGUUAAUUAGUGUUGUUCACGGUUAAUCUGGGGCAUUGUCAUUCAUGGUUUAUAGAAAGAGUAACUGGAAAUCGAUUUGUAUGCAUAUGUAUCAUGUGUGGAGAAUGACCCUCUAGCUAGCCAUUCACCUCAUAAAACACCCUAAAUUCAUAGUAAUUAGUUUGUUUUCUGCAAUUAACUUAGUUUUAUUUUUAAAUUUGUCAAAACCAUUUUCCCCCUUUCUAUUUCGUGUUUUCUAGGUUAUAAUAUGUCUAAUUGGUGUCUUUUAAUUUAAAAUUCGUCCAAAGUCAUUCUUAGUGUUAGUUUAGAGUCAAUUUGUUUGUUUUGUGCUGUUUUGAGUAGUUUGAGUCAGUUUUGAGUCAUAAGAGUUUAGUUUAGUGUUUUAAGUCUAGUUAAGUAUAAUUGAGUCUAAUUUAAGUAUAUUAGCAUCCCUCCUAAUCCCCGGCCUAGAACGAUCCUUACUUGUCCAUACUACAAUUAUCAAAAAGAGAGUUUAAUUUGUGUGCUAGUUUAAUUUCACAUCAAAUUUUGGCGCCGUUGCCGGGGAUUAGCAACAUUGCUAAUCUCCCUGUGUUUAUUUUCGUGUGUUUUGCUUUCUGUUCUGAUUUUUGUUUUGUUUUCUUUGUUUUAGGUACUAGUUUAUGACUCGAAGUCCUCAACCUGUUUGUGCACACAUAUUGGAGUUUGACGACGAUUUUGAACGAACUUUGAGAAGAAAAAGGAAGCAGCCAGAACAUAAUCCACCUGGUUCUAGCUCUGAAUCCGAGUUUGAAGAAGAGGAAGAGAAAGAACAAGCCAUGGCUGUGGAUAAUCAAACAAUCAAGGAACUCUUCGCCUCGGGAUUAGACAAUGUCGUGCCCCUUUGCAUUCAAUACCCUACAGCAGCCCAAGGCAAGACCAAUGAGUUCAAAUUGAAGUCUAGUUUGUUGCAUCACAUUCCCAAAUACCAUAGGUUGUCCAUGGAAGAUCCGAACAAACAUUUGAAGGAAUUUGAAGUGGUGUGCUCGAGCAUGACACCAAUCAACGUGGAUGGCAAUAUUCUGAAGAUGAAAGCCUUUCCAUUCUCUCUUAUGGACAAGGCUAAAGAUUGGCUUUAUGAAUUAGCACCUGGAACUGUCACUUCUUAGGAAAGCAUGAAGAGAGCAUUCUUAGAGAAAUUCUUCCCAACUUCAAGAGUCAUUCUUUUGAGGAAGAAAAUUAGUGGGAUUCAACAAAGCUAAGGAGAAUACUUUCCAGCAUACUAUGAGCGUUUUAAGACGUUAGUUGCAUCCUACCCACAACAUCAAAUGAAGGAAGAGCUUUUAAUUCAAUAUUUCUACAAAGGACUACAUCCAAUUAAGAGACAAAUGCUAGAUGCCUCGGCAGGUGGUGUUUUGGUUGACAAAACCCAGUUGCAGCCAAGAUCUUAAUAGCAAAUCGAGCCUUGAAUGCACAACAAUACGAAGGAAUUGGACAAAGAGACCCUCCAUGGCAACACCAAGUUAAUGAGGUAAGUUCAAUGGCUGAAAUUCAAUCUCAAUUAGCUAAUCUCACUGUUCUUGUGUCACAUGUUGCAAAAGGAUCAAAAGUACAAAGAACAAGCACUUGUGGCGUGUGCUCUAUGCAAGGACAUCUCAAUAAUCAAUGCCCUCAGUUGAUAAAGAAUAGGGGAUGGGAAAAUGCCAAUGUCAUCGGUUAUCAAAGCCAAAAUCAACCAAGGAAUGAUCCAUACUCCAACACUUACAAUCCGGGUUGGAGAGAUCACCAAAAUAUGAAGUAGAUGGAGCCUCAACAAGCUCCACAACAAGGGCGGUAUAGACAGCCACCUUCGGGACUCUAUCAAAGGCCAUUCGCACCAAUUCAACCUCAACCACAAUCUGCCCAAUCAAACUCAGGUUCGUCAUUGGAUAAUGAUAAACUUCUUCAAUUACUAACUUCAUUAACGCAAGGCCAAAAAAAUCAAGCCAAGGAGAUGAGCGAAGUGAAGAAGCAACUUGGGCAGAUGGCGGAGUUCAUGGAAAAGUUUAGAGAAGAAGGCAAACUACCUAGUUCAACCAUUGUCAAUCCGAAUAGAGGUUUUGAAACCGCCAAGGCAAUCACGUUAAGAAGUGGCAAGGAGGUUGGAAUCAACCCACAAAUAUCCAAAUCAAGCCAAAACGAGGAAGAGAAGCUGCUGCUCGAAGAAGAACAACUGGACAAACCCACGGCAAGGGUAAAACAACCCUUGCCGCAGCCACCUAAGCCUUCCACACUACCCAAUUCAGUUAAGGUUGGUUCAAAUUCGACUAUUUCUAACCCUAUUCCUCUGAAUGCACAUUACCCUUGCAGAUUUAUGCAAUCAAAGAAGGAAGAAAGUGAAAAGGACAUUCUGGAGAAGUUUAGAAAGGUGCAAGUCAAUAUCCCGCUCCUUGAUGCAAUCAAACAAGUUCCAAAAUAUGCCAAAUUUUUUAAGGAACGUUGCACAACAAAGAAGAGGAUCUCGAACAAGGAAGUGGUACAGGUAAGUGAGAAUGUCUCCGCAGUUUUGCAAAGAAAACUACCCCCUAAAUGUAAAGAUCCAAGUAGUUUCACAAUCCCUUGUGUUAUUGGCAAUACAAAAUUUGAGCAUGCCAUGUUAGACUUAGGUGCAUCCAUCAAUGUCGUGCCAUAUUCUAUUUAUGCAUCUAUGAACUUAGGAGAGCUGAAAAAUGAUGGAGUUAUUAUUCAAUUAGCUGAUCAUUCUAAUGCAUAUCCGAAAGGAGUUUUGGAAGAUGUUUUGGUGCAGGUUAAUCAUUUAAUCUUUCCAAUCGAUUUCUAUAUGCUAAAGAUGGAAGAUACAGUCCAUUCUACUCCAUUGCCGAUCCUACUCGAAAGACCAUUCAUGAAAACAGCUCGCACUAAGAUUGAUGUGUUCAAGGGACAUUGACAAUGCAAUUUGCAUAACUAUUUGAUUCAGAACUUAUUCUUGUAUGUUGAUUAAGGAGGCCUACUUAGUUUGCAUGGUUGGAUUUGAUGCUAAAAUAUAAGGGAAUUUCACCUAAUAGUUAUGAACUUAUAUUUACAAGUAGUGGAGGUUACUAGUCAUCAUCCUGUUAAGUGAAUUCCUGGCAGAAGUAUCAUGCUACUCAUAGUUACGAAUGCCCUGUCAAUGCUUAUGAUUUUCAUAGAGCUUAAUGAUCUUUGAUAUGUAUAUCUAUCAUGUUGUUCGUGUAGGGAACUUGAUAAGAAUAAUUUGGUCACGACACUGAGUCCGAUUCAAUGAACUUAGGAAAAUCUGAGGGUUACUUAGUGCUGUUCACGAUUAAUCUGGGGUAUUGUCAUUCAUGGUUUAUAGAAAGAGUAACUGAAAAUCGAUUCGUAUGCAUAUGUGUCAGGUGUGGAGAAGGACCCUCUAGCUAGCCAUUCACCUAGUAAAACACCCUAAAUUCGUAGUAAUUAGUUUGUUUUCUGCAAUUAACUUAGUUUUAUUUUUAAAUUCGUCAAAACCACUUUCCCCCUUUCUAUUUCGUGUUUUCUACGUUAGAAUAUCUUCAAUUGGUGUCUUUUUAAUGUUUUGAGUCUUUUUAAUUUAAAAUUCGUCCAAAGUCAUUCUUAGUGUUAGUUUAGAGUCAAUUUGUUUGUUUUGUGCUGUUUUGAGUAGUUUGAGUCAGUUUUGAGUCAUAAGAGUUUAGUUUAGUGUUUUUAAGCCUAGUUAAGUAUAAUUGAGUCUAAUUUGAGUAGAUUAGCAUCCCUCCUAAUCUUCAGCCUAGAACGAUCCCUACUUAUCCAUAAUUAUCAAAAAGAGGGUUUAAUUUGUGUGCUAGUUUAAUUUCACAUCAAAUUUUAGCACCAUUGCCGGGGAUUAGCAACAUUGCUAAUCUCUCUUUGUUUAUUUUCGUGUGUUUUGCUUUCUGUUCUGAUUUUUGUUUUGUUUUCUUUGUUUUAGGUACUAGUUUAUGACUCGAAGUUCUCAACCUGUUUGUGCACACAUAUUGGAGUUUGACGACGAUUUUGAACGAACUUUGAGAAGAAAAAGGAAGCAACCAGAACAUAAUCCACCUAGUUUCCAUUUUCACUUUGGCAGUAAAAUUUCUCUUCACAUUAUCAACAAUUUGUCCAUUCUUAUCAUGUGGUCGCGGCAUCCACCGUCAAUAUACCAAGUAUAUUGACUUUUAUUCUCGAGCCCCCACCAUAUCUCGGGCUCGAUGAUGCGAAAUAUAUAAGCACACAAAUUGAACCCUCUUUUUAUCAAUUGUAGCAAAGUAUGUAAGUAGGGAUCGUUCUAGACCGGGGAUUAGGAGGGAUUGCCAAAUCACUUGAAAACUGACUCAAAUACGUAAAAACAAGUUUAAAACACUAAACUAGACUCAAAGAAUGCAAAACUAAACUUUAAAACACCAAAACAAACCAAAAGACUCAAAACAGCAAACAAACACUCAAAACUGCCUUAAAAACACUUUCUGGGCAGUUUUGACACCUAACACUAAAUUGGACGAAAUUGGGUUAUAACUUGACUCAAGACCCUUAAAAACACAAACUAAAUUAAUUUCUACUUAAUCUAACACUUUAAAAUAAAUGGGGAAUUGGUUUUGACGAAAAUUGAAAACAAAAACAAAACUUGUAAAUUGAACAGAUUCUAAAACGAAUUUGAGAAAAGUGAAUGGAUGGAAAGCUAGCUAAGGGGUUCUUCUCCACACAAGUCACACUUGCAUACAAAAGGAUUUCCAAUUGCUUUUCGAUAAACCAUGAAUUCCCAACACCCCAGAUUAACCGUGAAUUGCACUAAUUAACCCUCAGAUUUUCCUUAAGUUAUUGGAUUGGAUGAAUUGCAUACGACAACCCAAAGCAUUCCCCACAAGUUCCCUACAUGAAUUGCAUAAUAGAGAUACAAGCAAGAAUCAUUAAGUUCUAUGAAAAUCAUAAGCAUUGGCGAAGCACUCGUUACUAUGAAUUGCAUGAAACUUAUGCCAAGAAUUUACUUAACACGAUUGUGAUCAACAACCUUUACUACUUUUGAAUAUAAGUUCAUAACGAUUAGGUGAAAUUCCCUUAUAUCCUAGUAUCAAACUUAUGCAUGAAAAUUAAGCGUGCACUCUCAACCAAUAGACACAAAUCAGUUUUAAUUCAUGUAGAUAAGUAAAUUGAAUUCACAACUUAUGAAACGCAAUUGAAAGUAAUCAAAUCAUAUAGCAAGCAUAAACAUGGUUUCGAAUCCCCCCCUAGCCAAGGGGGGUUUAGUUCCUCAUACUCACAAAGCAAAGAUACAUAAAUUUAGACAUUAAAAUCCAAAGAAAGAAAACACCUAGAUGAUCCAACUUGGACAGCAGGUGCAUCCACAAGUCUUCUUUCCUCCUUGCUGCGGCACUUGGUCUAAAGUCAGGUUCUAGGGUGGUAUUUGUAUGGGAGAAUGGGUAGGGAAUGGUAUGGAAGGGUUUAGGAUUGAUGGGGGGUACAGCUAGGGUAAAAAGAAUCAGAAAAAUAUGGAAGAAUGGUGAAGGAAGGCUGCGGCAAAGAGAGGGAAUGAUUUCUGGCUAAAAUUCUGAAUAUGGAGGGGUGGUUGAUGUGUUUUUGAUGUAGUGUAAUGUUUAGUGUUCUUCCUUUCACUCCCUAUUUAUAGAAGCUCCAAAGCAAAGAAUCACUCAAGUGGCUUCAAUAAACAAUACAAACAAAUACCAAAAUGAUGCAAAAACAGCUAGUUUACAUGCUCUUUUAUCAUUGUGUCUUGCCUUUAACAAAAGGCAAUCAUUCCUUUUUUGCUAAUUCAACUCCUUUGUAGCUGUCCAUGUGCCUUCAUUCUUCAAUUUCUGAUGCAUUUGCCUUGUAUUCCAUCCCUUUUCCACAUGUACUAGCUGUUAGACAACUUUCACACACAUGUUUUGCAUCAUUUCAGCUUGCAAUUAUGUUUGUAGUUGCUGAAAAUGUGAAUACAUCUUGUAAAACAAUCCAACAAAUGGCAUCUUUCACUUCUUUUCCUUUCAAAUUGUUCCUUAGGUGUAUGUAUCUGCACACUUCCACACUUCAACUUCAUUAUUCAGAUUUUUGCAUGUGUUGAAACCCUUUUUAAAAUACCAAAAACGUCCAUCCCACUUGCUCCAUAUGCAUGCAAUCCAUUUUGGCCCAAAAUUGCUCCAAAUUGCAUCUAAAUGCACUUUCUUUCCAACUUUGUUAUUAGGACCUACAAACACACGAAAAUAGCUUAAAACACUCUUAUAAGCAAUAACUAACUAAGUAAAUGCAAGAAAACAUGUUAACUAAGUCGCAUAAAUAUGCUCCUACAUAAUCCGAAAAUAUGCUCAUCAUGCAUCUUUGAAAUGUGGCAGGUGCAUUACAUAAACCAAAAGGCAUGCGACGAUAUGAAAAUGUACCAAAAAGGCAUGUAAAAGUGGUUUUUUCUUGGUCCUCGGGUGCUAUGACAAUUUGAUUAUAACCAGAAUAACCAUCAAGAAAACAAUAGAAAGCAUAACCCGCUAACCUUUCAAGCAUUUGGUCAAUGAACGGCAAUGGGAAGUGAUCCUUCCUUGUGGUGGCGUUUAGCUUCCUAUAAUCGAUGCACACCCUCCAACCAGUUUGAAUGCGUUGAGGAACAAGUUCAUUCUCGGCAUUAGCUACCACUGUCACUCCGGAUUUCUUUGGUACGCAUUGAACGGGCGAAACCCACCUACUAUCCGAGAUUGGAUAGACAACUCCACAAUCUAGAAGCUUUAUGAUCUUCUUCUUCACAACUUCCAUCAUAGGAGGGUUGAGACGGCGUUGAGCCUCUCGAGAUGUUUUAGACCCCUCCUCCAAAAGUAUGCGAUGCAUGCACGUAGUAGGGUUAAUUCCCUUGAUGUCGGCCAAUGUCCAUCCAAUUGCCGUUUUGUACUCCUUUAGCACCCUCACUAAUUUACUCUCCUCUUGUGCCAUGAGUGAGGAUGAAAUGAUGACGGGCAAUGUCUCAUCCUCUCCCAAGAAAACAUACCUCAAGUGACUAGGCAAUGGCUUAAGUUCAAGUGUGGGUGGCUGCACAACUGAGGGAAGCAUUUUAUUAGCCGAAACCAAACUUAAAAUAGGGUCCAAAAACUUACCAGUUUGUGAUGGCAAUGACUCAAGGGCAGCCACCAUCUCAAUGAUAUCUUCACUAGGGGGCAUGGCAAUGGAAUCCUCAUGCAUGUCGUGGGUUUCCUUAGUGGCUGUUUCAAUGUUUUUCAUGUUCUUUCCUUGUGCAAUGACCAAUUCAAGUGCAUCGUCCUUCAAAUUGUCAAAAUGGUCCUGCGCCAAAGAGUCAAUUAUAUCAAUAGCAAAACAUGAAUGAUUUUCACUAGGAAACUUCAUAGAAUCAAAAAGAUUGAAAUUAAUCACUUCCCCAUCAAAUUUCAUCGUUAAAGUGCCAUUAAACACGUCAAUCUUUGUUCGGGCCGUUUUCAUGAAUGGCCUUCCAAAGAGGAUGGGUAAUGAAGGGGUAUGGUUCGAUUCAUCCAUCUCAAGUACGUAGAAAUCCGCCAGAAAGAUCAAAUGAUUAACCUGCACUAAAACAUCCUCCAAAACUCCCUUUGGAUAUGCAUUAGAUCUAUCGGCCAAUUGUAUUACCAAUGACACAAUGAAUCGUAAAACUACCCGAAUCUUUGCAUUUAGGGGGCAGUUUGCGUUGCAAGAUGGCUGACACGUUCUCGCCUACUUUCACAACUUCCUUGGUCGACAUCCUCUUCCUCGUGGUGCAAAGUUCCUUCAAGAACUUGGCGUACCUCGGGACUUGCUUGAUUGCAUCCAAAAGGGGUAUGUUGACUUGAACUUUCCUAAAUGUCUCUAGAAUAUCCUUUUCAGCUUCUUCUUUCUUUGUUUGCUUGAACCUAUUUGGAAAAGGAACAUUCGAAGGAAAAACAUUAGUAGGAACUGGAUUUGACACGUUCUUACCUCUAUUGGACAGAUUGGAUGACUUAGGAUCACAUAGGGCUUGCGGCAAAGAUGUUUCCACCUUUGCCGUGGGUGGUUUUUGUUCUUCCUCUUCAAUCAUCAACUCCUCCACCUCGUUAGAACGUGAUUUGGAGUGUUGGGGUUCAGAUCCUACGUGCUUCCUAUUUCGUAAAGUUAUAGCUUUUGCAGAUUCGAAUCCACCUUUUGGAUUGACCACGGUUGAACUAGGCAACUUGCCUUGCUCUCGAAACUGCCCCAUAAACUCGGCAAUUUGCCCCACUUGCUUCUCCAACUCGUCCACCUUCUUGUCCCUAGUUUGCAUGCCCUGUGCCAUAGAAGUUAGUAAAUUAAAAAUCUGAUCAUUAUCAAUAGAAGAACCUGAUUUUUGGGCGGGUUGUACUUGGGGUUGAGUUGGUGCAAACGGCUUUUGAUAGAAACCCGGGGGUUGUUGCCUAAAUGUGCUUUGUUGUUGGCCUUGUUGGGGUUCUCGCCAUUUGAAAUUUGGAUGAUCACGCCAACCGGGAUUUUAAGUAUUAGAAAAGGGGUCAUUCCUCGGUUGGUAUUGGUUGCCAAAUCCCACGACAUUAAGGGUCUCCCAACCUCCAUUCUCUAUCAAUUGUGGGUACUUGUCCAUAAGGUGUCCUUGCAUGGAGCAUACGCCACAAGCUGCCACGUUUUGCACUUUUGGACCUUCCACCACCUGAGAAAGCAAAGUAGUAAGGUUAGCCAUUUGAUUUUGAAGUUCGGUUAUGGCACUUACCUCAUUCACUUGGUGUUGCCGUGGGUUGCUCCUUUGUCCAACACCUUCGUAUUGUUGGGCAUUCAACGCUCGAUUGGAGAUUAAUGUCUUGGCUGCCGUGGGGGUCUUGUCCACCAAGGCUCCUCCCGCCGAGGCAUCUAGCAUUUGACGUUCGAUUGGUAGUAGCCCCUCAUAGAAGUAUUGUAGAAGAAGUUCCUCCUUCAUCUGAUGCUGUGGACAUGAAGCAACAAGAGAUUUAAAACGUUCAUAGUAAGUAGGAAAAGAUUCACCUUCAUCUUGUUGAAUUCCACUUAUCCUUUUUAGUAGGAGGAUGACUUGAGAAGUUGGGAAAAACUUCUCCAAGAAAGCCCGUUUCAUGCUCCCAAGAUGUGACCGUUCCGGGAGCUAAUUUAUACAACCAAUCUUUCGACUUUUCCAUGAGAGAAAAGGGAAAAGCCUUCAUCUUCAAUAUGCUCCCGUCAACAUUGAUUGGAGUCAUGCUUGAACACACCACCUCGAACUCUUUCAAGUGCUUGUUAGGAUCCUCCAUGGACAACCCAUGGUACUUCGGCAUGUGGUGUAGCAAACUUGACUUCAACUCGAAUUCCUCGGUCUUUCCUUGGGUAGCAGCGGGAUAUUGAAUACAUAGAGGUGCGGCAUUAUCUAAUCCCAAAGCCGAAAGCUCCUUGAUUGUACGAUUGUCUUAUGCCAUGGCUUCCUCUACUUCACCCACUCUUGCCGUGGGUUCCUCUUCUUCAAACUCAACUUCGGCUUCUGAAUUUGAUUUUGAUUCACUAGGUUUUGGAUUCUUCCUUUUUCGCCUCAAUUCUCGCUCAAAAUCGUCGUCAAAGUCCAAGAUGUGUUCACGAAUCAGAUGAGAACUCUGAGUCAUAAACUAGUACCUAAAAACAAGAAAACAAAACAAGGUCAGAAUCUGGAAUUCAUUAAAACAAACUGAAAUAAAACAAUUCAAGGGAUUAGCAAUGUUGCUAAUCCCCGGCAACGGCGCCAAAAAUUUGAUGCGAAAUAUAUAAGCACACAAAUUAAACCCUCUUUUUAUCAAUUGUAGCAAAGUAUGUAAGUAGGGAUCGUUCUAGACCGGGGAUUAGGAGGGAUUGCCAAAUCACUUGAAAACUGACUCAAAUACGUAAAAACAAGUUUAAAACACUAAACUAGACUCAAAGAAUGCAAAACUAAACUUUAAAACACUAAAACAAACCAAAAGACUCAAAACAGCAAACAAACACUCAAAACUGCCUUAAAAACACUUUCUGGGCAGUUUUGACACCUAACACUAAAUUGGACGAAAUUGGGUUAUAACUUGACUCAAGACCCUUAAAAACACAAACUAAAUUAAUUUCUACUUAAUCUAACACUUUAAAAUAAAUGGGGAAUUGGUUUUGACAAAAUUGAAAACAAAAACAAAACUUGUAAAUUGAACAGAUUCUAAAACGAAUUUGAGAAAAGUGAAUGGAUGGAAAGCUAGCUAAGGGGUUCUUCUCCACACAUGUCACACUUGCAUACAAAACGAUUUCCAAUUGCUUUUCGAUAAACCAUGAAUUCCCAACACCCCAGAUUAACCGUGAAUUGCACUAAUUAACCCUCAGAUUUUCCUUAAGUUAUUGGAUUGGAUGUGUUGAUGCACAAAACCGAAGGUAUUGGAACAACGUAAAUCUGACCGUGAAUCUGCAUGAAAUGUAAAUGACACAAGAUGUAUCGUGGUUCACCUCAAGGUUUGGGCUACGUCCACACUGAUUAUGUAUUUAUCUGAGGGAGAGAGAGCUCUGAAAGUGAGAGCGUUGAGAGGGGGUGAGAGGGCCUAGAAAUUGGUCUCCGAGAGUCAGAGUGAGGCCUCUCCUCAUUGUGAGGGUGAGGGGUCCUUUUAUAGAAUAAGGACUCCUCACUUAUUACAUAUUUGCCUCUUCCUUUAUUACAUAAUUACAUUUAAGUCCAUCGAGUAUUUGUACGAGAUCUAAAUACGAUGCCCUAAAUAUGGUAUAAACAGUAGUCCCCCAAGUCUUCAGUCAAGAGAGUCUUUUGACUGGAGACUUGAAAUUCAGUCCAUGUGUGGGCCGAAGUAACUAGAUGCUGUCUUGAACUGAUGCUCGAUAUGAGACAGUGCUUAAUCUGAAAUGACGCUCAACUAGAAGUAGCACACGUUGCGAGGCUGCUCGGCUUGUGGCUUAUGUUGCCUUGGUUGGCUCGGCUUGCGGUGUUGAAGGUGAGGGAGUCCCUUUUAUAAAAUAAGGGCUCGCUCCUCAAUACAUGAAUGAUGGGCUAGAGUUGAUGCUCGCGGCGAGGUGGUUGCUCAGUAAGUGGCGAUGCUCUCUAAUGGUGGUGAGGGAGUCCCUUUUAUAGAAUAAGGGCUCGCUCCUCAAUACAUGAAUAAUGGGUUAUGAGUGAUGCUCGCGGCAAGGCGGUUGCUCAGCGAGCGGCGAUGCUCUCUAACGAAGGUGAAUGAGUCCCUUUUAUAAAAUAAGGGUUCGCUCCUCAAUACAUGAGUGAUGGGCUAAGUCCCCCAAGUAUUUUUCUUGAGUGCUCUCUAAUGAAAGUGAGGGAGUCCCUUUUAUAGAAUAAGGGCUCGCUCCUCAGUACAUAGAUAAUGGGUUUAAGUCCCUUAAGUAUUUUCAUAAGGUCCAGUUGAGGCCCAAUAUAUGGUACAUAAUGUAGUCCCCCAAGUCUUCGGUCAAUAGAGUCUGUUGGCUGGAGACUUCAAAUUGAAUCCAUGUAUGGGCCGAAGUGGCUGUUGUUCAGAGGCGGUGUGUGUAUACCCUGCACUGAAGCUUUGUAGGUGAAGCUUUGUAGGUGAAGCUUUGCAAGAAAAGCUUUGAAGCUAGAGCUCUGUAAAUGACGCUUUGAAGCUAAUUAACAUGAGUGAUGCUCAUGAAUGUUUAUGUUGAUUGACAUGAGUGAUGCUCAUGAAUGUUUAACAUGAGUAAUGCUCAUGAAUGUUGACAUGAAUGAUGGUCAUGAAUGUUUAUGUAUGAUUGUCAUGAGUGAUGCUCAUGAAUGUUUAUGUAUGAAUGACAUGAGUAAUGCUCAUGUAUAAUUUAGAGUACUGGGCGUACUUUUGAUCACCUGGUUGGUGGCAUGAAGGAGAGUACAGGUUGUACAUUUCAUUACUUGGUUGGUGGUAAUAGCGGCAGGUUGCCGAAUAAUUUUGGAGUACUGGACGUACUUUUGAUCACCUGGUUGGUGGCAUGAAGGAGAGUACGGGUUGUACAUUUCAUUACUUGGUUUGUGGUAAUAGCGGCAGGUUGCCGAAUAAUUUUGGAGUACUGAGCAUACUUUUGAUCACCUGGUUGGUGGUAAUAGCGGCGGGUUGUCGAAUAAUUGUGAAGUACUGGGCGUACUUUUGAUCGUCUGGUUGGAGCUAUUUUGGGCUUAUGGGCUUUCGCCCUCUACACAACAUUCCAGCCCAUUUACUUUGGGCUUUGCCGUUUUUUUUUUCUUUUUACCCUCUGAUGGGGUUUAUACAAAUGUUUCCAAAAUAUAAGGAAAAUAAAUUACAUCAUUCUGAUGGGGUAUUUAUUCCUUGUUUUUGCAGUGUCUCCAUGUGCAUCCCUUUUGCUUUCCUCUUUUCUGCUUUCCGAAAUAUUCUCCUAACAACAUGAUCUUUUUCUUUUCUGUUCCUUUCUUUGAUCUCUCCACCUCCAGACACACUCACUUGCUUUUGCUUUUACUUUCCCUUUUCUUUCUCUUUCCUUUUGCUUUGUCCGCCAUUGCCUUUCUCUUUCAGCCCGGUUUCUGCUGUUUGAACACAAAGCUGGUGUACUCCAGCUGUAAAAAAUGUAAAAAACGUAAAGAACGUGGCCUCCCACUCCAUUUCUUUGUCUUCAGAACCCCACCUCAAUGACCAUUUGCUAUCGUGGUCAAAGCAUGUUCAGAUUCACGUGUUUUGUUACUGGGCACUUCAGGUUUAAACUCCACGGGCAAACUCAAGUACUGGGCAAAUUUCAGGUUCUCAUUGAUAAUGAUUUCUUAUCUAAACAAGAUCCAUUGCAGCUAAAACCCGAAAAGAUAUUGAUCUUUCCAUUUCUCUUUUUCUUCUUGCUCUGAGACGGGGUUCUCAGCGAAGUACUCGGAGUUCCUGCCUGCUCUUUGGUUGCUUGUGCUUCUGACCACCUCUAUUUUCUUCCUUUGAGCCAUCAACCAAAUCAGUAGAAGGCCUCUCCUCCUCGGCAGACCCAACCCCAACCCCAGGCUCAGCGCUAGAUUCCUGCUGCUUCUUUAACAGCUCAACAAACGAUGUCGUCGCGGAGGCUCCUCCGGCUCCGCAGACCACUGACCUCCGGUAUCGGCCUCCUGGAGUGAUGGGCUAGAACGGAAACCCGCUGAUUUCUGAUUGUUCUACGGUGGUCGAAGCAACUGUGGGUGUGAUUCCGGAUGAAGUUCAAGUUGGAAAUGGAAGCAAAGGUGGUGCUUCCCAUCUCUCCUUCGACACUUCCAGGUGCAAGUUCGCUUCUUCUUAUUCUUCCUCCUCUGGUUCUUUUGGUUUGUACUCGCUUUCCUUUUAUAUAAAAAACUGAACAACUUUUGACUGGUGAAUGACUGGUUCUUCUUUCUUCAGCUUGGCAGAGCGAUAAUUUUGGAAUCGCAGCCAAUGGCGCAUUCUGGCACCACCUAUCUUGAUGCAUAUCUCAAUGACUAAAAAGCACAUAACCCCAGAAACAAGGGAGAGAGAGUUUUUUUUUUUUUUUUUUUAAUUUUUUUAAAGAGAGGGAGAGGGUGAGAUCUAGAAUUAGAGACAUGAAAAGAUGCAGUGGUAGCUGUGUUAUUGAGAGAGAGAUGGAAAAUGGGUUUUUGGAUGGUUUCUUAAAACUUCAGAGUCUGCGAAGGUUUUCUGGGUUCUUGGGUUUUUGCAGAUUCACGGUGGAGGUGAAAAAAUGAAAGAGAGCCGACACAACUUUUUGUAUCGUUUCCCACAGACGGCGCCAAAUGUUGAUGCACAAAACCGGAGGUAUUGGAACAACGUAAAUCCGACCGUGAAUCUGCAUGAAAUGUAAAUAAUACAAGAUGUAUCGUGGUUCACCCCAAGGUUUGGGCUACGUCCACACUGAUUAUGUAUUUAUCUGAGGGAGAGAGAGCUCUGAGAGUGAGAGCGUUGAGAGGGGGUGAGAGGGCCUAGAAAUUGGUCUCCGAGAGUCAGAGUGAGGCCUCUCCUCAUUGUGAGGGUGAGGGGUCCUUUUAUAGAAUAAGGACUCUUCACUUAUUACAUAUUUGCCUCUUCCUUUAUUACAUAAUUACAUUAAAGUCCAUCGAGUAUUUGUACGAGAUCUAAAUACGAGGCCCUAAAUAUGGUAUAAACAGGAUGAAUUGCAUACGACAACCCAAAGCAUUCCCCACAAGUUCCCUACAUGAAUUGCAUAAUAGAGAUACAAGCAAGAAUCAUUAAGUUCUAUGAAAAUCAUAAGCAUUGGCGAAGCACUCGUUACUAUGAAUUGCAUGAAACUUAUGCCAAGAAUUUACUUAACACGAUUGUGAUCAACAACCUUUACUACUUUUGAAUAUAAGUUCAUAACGAUUAGGUGAAAUUCCCUUAUAUCCUAGCAUCAAACUUAUGCAUGAAAAUUAAGCGUGCACUCUCAACCAACAGACACAAAUCAGUUUUAAUUCAUGUAGAUAAGUAAAUUGAAUUCACAACUUAUGAAACGCAAUUGAAAGUAAUCAAAUCAUAUAGCAAGCAUAAACAUGGUUUCGAAUCCCCCCUAGCCAAGGGGGGUUUAGUUCCUCAUACUCACAAAGCAAAGAUACAUAAAUUUAGACAUUAAAAUCCAAAGAAAGAAAACACCUAGAUGAUCCAACUUGGACAGCAGGUGCAUCCACAAGUCUUCUUUCCUCCUUGCUGCGGCACUUGGUCUAAAGUCAGGUUCUAGGGUGGUAUUUGUAUGGGAGAAUGGGUAGGGAAUGGUAUGGAAGGGUUUAGGAUUGAUGGGGGGUACGGCUAGGGUAAAAAGAAUCAGAAAAAUAUGGAAGAAUGGUGAAGGAAGGCUGCGGCAAAUAGAGGGAAUGAUUUCUGGCGAAAAUUCUGAAUAUGGAGGGGUGGUUGAUGUGUUUUUGAUGUAGUGUAAUGUCUAGUAUUCUUCCCUUCACUCCCUAUAUAUAGAAGCUCCAAAGCAAAGAAUCACUCAAGUGGCUUCAAUAAACAAUACAAACAAAGACCAAAAUGAUGCAAAAACAGCUAGUUUACAUGCUCUUUUAUCAUUGUGUCUUGCCUUUAACAAAAGGCAAUCAUUCAUUUUUUGCUAAUUCAACUCCUUUGUAGCUGUCCAUGUGCCUUCAUUCUUCAAUUUUUGAUGCAUUUGCCUUGUAUUCCAUCCCUUUUCCACAUGUACUAGCUGUUAGACAACUUUCACACACAUGUUUUGCAUCAUUUCAGCUUGCAAUUAUGUUUGUAGUUGCUGAAAAUGUGAAUACAUCUUGUAAAGCAAUCCAACAAAUGGCAUCUUUCACUUCUUUUCCUUUCAAAUUGUUCCUUAGGUGUAUGUAUCUGCACACUUCCACACUUCAACUUCAUUAUUCAAAUUUUUGCAUGUGUUGAAACCCUUUUUAAAAUACCAAAAACGUCCAUCCCACUUGCUCCAUAUGCAUGCAAUCCAUUUUGGCCCAAAAUUGCUCCAAAUUGCACAUUCUUUCCAACUUUGUUAUUAGGACCUACAAACACAUGAAAAUAGCUUAAAACACUCUUAUAAGCAAUAACUAACUAAGUAAAUGCAAGAAAACAUGUUAACUAAGUUGCAUAAAUAUGCUCCUAUCACUCGACUCCACCGUAGCACGAUAUUGUCCGCUUUGAGCCCUGACCACGCCAUCACAGCUUUGUUUCUGGGAACUCACACGAGAACUUCCCAGUGGGUCACCCAUCAUGGGAUUGCUCUCAUGCGGACUCGCUUAACUUCGGAGUUCCGAUGAAACCUGAAGCCAGUGAGCUCCCAAAAGGCCUCGUGGUAGGUAGAAAUGAGAAUAUACAUAUAAGACUUACAAGAUCCAAUCCCCUGGACGAUGUGAGAUGUAACAGCAAGCAUAGAAAAGAGUCCCUAUCUCUUCAACUUGGUUGACAUAAUUUGCCUUAUGUACUACUUUGUGCCCAUUGCAGUUUCUAGGUUCAUGACCAAACAUUCCAUGACCAAACUUUCCAUAGUUGGUGCAUUUGUGUUUUCCUUCAAACCAGCACUUCCCAUAAUGCAAUUUGUCAAAAUGUUUACAAGUAGUAUUGUUUGAAUCCUGAGUGGCAACCUGUUUGGGAGCAAAGUUGGGCUUAUUAUCCUAUUUCUUUUUCUUCUUCUAGUUUUUCCCUAUCUUUUGAUUGUCAGAAAAACCACUAGAUUUAGGAUAAUUGUAACCUACAUUUAGGCUAGCAAAUACUCUCUCAUUAGAGUUCUCAACAUGUCUAUCCAACCUUUGUUCAAAACCCCUUCAAUGAAGCUACAACUUCUUGUACCACAAGAUAUCAAGAUCCUUAGAAUGCUCAAUCACAUUACAAAUCGAAUCAUAGGAUCUAGGCAACCUUAGAAGCUACAACUGGUAUGAUGACAUCCUUUACAAAGGAUUAGUUUGGAGCCCAAUAUAACAUUCUCUAAGAAGGAUUCAUAACAUUAACGAGAGACGGUUAGAGAUAGAGAUUCAUAUCGCCCUCGAAUCUCAAACGUUGAAUUAUCAUAAUUUACCACUUCUAUUAUAUGGAUAAUACUUGCAUUCCCCCUUAAGGGAUGAGCUCAUUCCCACAUGCAAAUAUAUAUUUACUGUACAAAUUUCAUAAUCGGAACAGUUUAAUUUCUUAAUUCUCAUUUGAACAUCACCCCUACAAAAACUCAUUUAAAUCGAACAACAUUUAGUUAUUCAAAUGUAUGGAAUAAAUCAAAGGUGUAGGUACCAAGUACCAUAUUCAUGAUGAAUUGUUCAUAUAUUUAAUACAUUUGGAUGAUUAAACCAAUUCCGAUUCGAAUGAUUUUCCAUAGGAGUGAUCUUCAAAUGAUGAUUAAGAAAUUAAAUGGUAUCGUUGAUUCUAAAUUAAAGUCGAAUCAAAGAUAUAUCCAAAAGCCAGUUAAACAGAGAUACAAUCAAAAGUUUAGAGGUUAAUUAUAAUGGUAUUUCUUAGGUAUCCGUUAAAUUCCACUAAUCAUAAUAAGAUGAUCAUCACAAACUAUCUUUAUUAACUCAGUGGCUUGGCAUGCAAUCAGUUAGCAUAUUCAGUUAACCACACAAGCUACAACACAACACUUGAUACAGAUCGGACAAUGCAGAAACUUACUAUACCAAAUGAGAAUGCUACAACCUCGUCAGCCAACUUCUGCCCCCCUAUUUGUUAUUUUCUCUAGUUAUCCAAACCGUGCAAGAAAAGCAACAAGAAAAACAUGUACGCAGACUAAUGCGAGAAUUUCAGAAAGAUAAGAGUGUACAAGCUUCCAUAUGCUGCACGAAUCCUAUGCAGUGGUGUCAAGGAACGGAUAAUCAGUGUAGCCAAUAACCGGUUCAGACACGUAGAAUGUGCUUCUGUUGUACUUGUUCAGAGGAGCAUUAAGCUCAAACCUCUUCGGCAAGUCUGGGUUAGCCAAGAACCAACGACCAUAAGCAAUAAGAUCUGCACGGCCCUCAGCCACAGCAUUGUUC